rnacentral:rRNA from 1 species
CCUACGGGUGGCAGCAGUGGGGAAUAUUGCGCAAUGGGCGAAAGCCUGACGCAGCGACGCCGCGUGAGGGAUGAAGGUCUUCGGAUUGUUAACCUUUGUCAGUAGGGGAGAACGGUCACUGUCCUAAUCAGCAGUGAAUUGACGGUACCUGCAAAGGACGCACCGGCUAACUCCGUGCCAGCCGCCGCUGUAAACCGGAGGGUGCGAGCGUUAAUCGGAAUUACUGGGCGGAAAGCGCUCGUAGGCGGUAUGUCAAGUCAAGGGUGAAAUCCCCGCGCUCAACGUGGGAACUGCCUUUGAAACUGGCAAGCUGGAGUGGGUGAGAGGAUAGUGGAAUUCCAGGUGUAGGAGUGAAAUCCGUAGAUAUCUGGAGGAACAUCAGUGGCGAAGGCGACUAUCUGGCACAUAACUGACGCUGAGGAGCGAAAGCGUGGGUAGCAAACAGGAUUAGAUACCCCGGUAGUC